rnacentral:misc_RNA from 1 species
UCUAUUUUUUUUUAGAAACAAGUGCUGGUAGAGUAGCGUGUGUUUGCAACACUAAAAGCAUUAUAAAACGAUGGCAACACAAGGUCGAAUUUUGAUUUAUGGUGGAAAAGGUGCACUAGGAUCGACAUGCGUCAAAUAUUUCAAGACGCACAACUUUUGGGUUGGCUCUAUAGAUCUUGCACCAAAUGAGGAUGCUGACGCAAACAUCGUUGUGAAACCUGCCGACACGUGGGCUGCCCAGGAGGAGGAAGUCAACAAGUGUGUGGAGAGCGUGUUGGGAGAACACAAGAUCGAUGCUAUUUUCUGUGUGGCCGGGGGGUGGGCUGGUGGCAAUGCUUCCUCCAAAGAUUUAAUCAAGAAUUCAGAUAUGAUGUGGAAGCAAAGUGUGUGGACAUCUGUCAUAUCUGCUGGAUUGGCUGCCAGACACCUCAAGGAGGGAGGAGUGCUCUCCCUUCCUGGAGCUGCCCCUGCUCUUAGUGGAACUCCUGGUAUGAUUGCCUAUGGUUUGGCCAAGGCUGCUGUCCAUCAGUUGGUGCAGAGUCUGGCUGGGAAGAACAGUGGUCUACCUCAGAACUGCUUUGUAGCCGCCACAUUGCCUGUCACACUGGACACACCAAUGAAUCGCAAGUUCAUGGGUGAUGCAGACUUUUCUACUUGGACACCUCUUGAUUAUGUUGCCGAGUUGUUCCACAAAUGGCUAAAGGGUGAACGUCCUGCAAAUGGAAGUCUUGUCAAGAUUGUCACCAAAGACAAUAAAACUGAAACAGUUAAUCUUUAAAAACAUUAACUUAGUAGCAUGUUACAAUUUGCUGACAUAGCAAUUGUUUGUCUACCAGUCUAGGAUACACCAGGUUAGUUCAUACAUCAGAAUACGACGUGUUGUGCAGUUUAGGACAGGUUAGCUCAAGUGAGACUCAGAUGACCUAUGUCAUUAGUUUUGUCAGUCAUCUUUAUUCUAGUCAUAGUUUAGAAUUUCUUUCUGAAACUACUAAACAUUAUUUUAAGUGAUACUUCUAAGGAAAUAUCAUUGGCAGAUUUUGCUUAAUUAAAUACAUAUUAUUAACCACCAUUGGCAGGUUUUGCUUAAUUAAUUAAAUGUUAUUAACCUAAAUGAUCACCAAAACAUCCUUUGUGGAACAUAACCCUAUAUAUGUAUUUAAAAAAAAAAAAAAAAUAUUUGCAGGGAUUAAAUCAUUAUGUAAUUUAAGCUGAUGAUCAGGAACCAAUUUCACAAGAUGUUGUAUGUCUAGUGUUGAAAUUACACAAAAGCAAUUGUUAUAACUAAAAACUAUACAACUAAUAUACCCAGUAGUGUUAAAUUUACAGAAAUAAUUUUCUUUCGUCUUUGCUGUAAUUUUAUCUGUGAAAUAUAUACCAAUGGAAUAAAAACAUACAACUGCUAAGUGUUAAACGUAAACGUGUGAUCUUUUGUGAAAUUGGCCCCAGCACCACAUUACUAUACAGGACAUUCCCGGUACUACAGCUCAGUACUGUUUUUGUUUCAAAGUUAAAUCGGUUAACAGUUUUUCAAAAGGUCAUUGGGGUUGAUUUACAAUUUUACAGUUUACGAUUUUAAUUGAAAAACACAUGUUUUUGGUCUCCACUGGAAUGAACAUUGUUCUCAAUAUAAAUGUAAAAAUAUUAGCUGUGUUAGAAAUGGCAUUGAGCAUUUGUGUAGAUAAUUGUUAAUGAUUCCAUUAUCCGUUAAAUAGGUUAUUGUGACAUUAGCUGUAAGGUGUAGGCAGUGAUGGUUCAAGUAUUGUAAUAAUAUUACUGAUAAUACAUAUUACAUAUUAUAACUAGCAUUCAUAUCUGUCACUAUCUUUGUCCAGCACUCUUAAUCCUAAAAUAAUAAAACCAGUAUCUUAAUGUUUUAUUUGCAGUUUCACUUUUAUGAAUUUGUUUUUUCACUACUCUACUUAUUUUGAAAAAUCUUAAAGUAAUACAUGUAUUUGGCUGUUUUGUUUAAAAGCUUGUUAUUUCAACCCUGGCAAUUAACCCUGGCAAUCGGCAAUGCAAUGGAGAACUCAUUGGUGUUUUCAAAUGUUUUUAAGCAUUUAUUUUUCUGUGGAACAUUCUGUUUUUUGUCACUUUUCUUAAUUAUUGUUUGGUAAAAUUAAUACUGACAAAUUAAAAUCCUUCCACAUUAAUCACAAAAAAAUGCUGUGGAGACUAUUUUUAUGGCAUAGUGUUUAGCAUUUUGUUAAUUGCCAGGAUUGAAUUUAACUGUUUAAACACUUAUGUGUGCAUUUAUUUUUCCAUUAUCUUAUAACUACAUUCCACAUCUGUUUAUGUAUAUAAUAUAUAUUAUUCCAUCAGUAAUUUGUUUUCAGUGAUCGUUUAUGAUUUUACAUUCCUUGAAAUGAAAUAAUUACUGCUUCAUUUUGUGAUUUCUAGUCAAUACCACUGAUCACAUGAUAGAAAUGUCAUGACAUCGUGUAACUGCUGACCAGCAACAACCAAAAUUUGACCUGUAAUCUGUCCGUUGUUACAAAUACAUGACUCAAUGGUUUACUGCCGUCCAAAAAAAAACCUUAUAAAAAAAACUAUAUAACCUAUAACCGGUGAGACAUAAAAUCUGCCCAUGCAGGAAGAUAGAUGGGCUUUGGAUACUAAAAAAGCCAAUCGAAAUUAAUUAACAUUGUUCGAGUAAUGUGAGCACUUCAGAACUAUAGUUUACAUUAAAAUGUGACGAAGAUUUCAGAAAUUCCUAGCCUUGUUUUAAGUUGUUUCUUGUGUUAGAACUAUUCUUUUUCCAUUACGAUGCCCUAUAUAUUAUCUUCUUCUGUGGCAGAAUUAAUGUUUAUCAUACUCUUUGCAUUUUGUGUUUGAGAUUAUUGUAUUUCCCGCAACCCAAUGGCAGCUUUUUCAGUUAAAAACUAAAAUGUACAUUUGUUAUUUAGAUGCAUUGACAACACCAUAUACAUGUUGUUUUGCAGGUUUAAAAGUAUUUCAAAAUGCACAUACACCUUUGUGGUAUUCAGUUUUUCAUAAUCAGUGCUAUAACCAAUAAUUGUUAAAUGUGCGUUCUCAUAAUUAUUAUGUGAUUAGUCGGACAGACUUAUCGCAUAUGAUUGAAUCGUAUUGUGAGAACACCUAAAUCAGAAUUACUUUAUAGUCUUAUAUGUUCCAGUUUUUGUAGGGCUGACAAAUCGGUGCGUCUAAACGCAUAACGAGAACACUGCUUAACAGAUUACAGACCAAAGCUGGGGCUGGGUCUGGGUCUGGGCCUGGAGAGUGUGGCAAAGACAUGGAAUGUCUGAUGUAUUUUACUGUCUGGGUCUGUAAUUGUUAUGUGUUAUCAAUGUAAUUGACUGCCUUCAUGUCUUUGGAUAUAUUUUCUCCUAUAAACUUCAACAAUAAUUGCGAUAAUUCCACAUUGCUUGCUAUAUAUCUUUCCUGUUGUUUAUUAUUAAAAUGAAAAAGUAAGGCUCGAACAUUGUGCACAGCUGCCAGUCUGGCAGUGUGAAAAUAUAGCGCAUGUUCUAGGACGUCUAUUGCCAGAUCUGUAGUUAGCGCCAGCACAGACAAGUUGUAUUUUGUCACAUUCAAUUCAAUACAUAUCAUUUUGGACUGGUACCAUACUCACCAGACCCAGAUCUUUGGGCCUAAGUCGACCAGUCAUAUCAUGUGACUAGUACUAGUAGGAAUAUGUCAAGUUUCAGGGGACAUAACCCAUUUUAAAUUGUUGAGAACGGCCAUGAGGUGGCGUGAGAAAAUGCUCACAUUUCUGUCUGCGAUGAAAGGUCACAUAAUAUAUUGAUCGAUUUAAUGAUAGUCUAUUUCUCAAUUCGUAUUCAGAAUUUGGAGAUUGUUGGAAGACUUGCUCCAAGAACCUAAGGUGUUGGGAAAUCUUCAUUUCUAAGCUACCCGAUCAGGGUCACAAAUUUUGGUACAUGCAUAAUGUAAACUAUACUGUGCAUAAUAGUAGUUAUUGUUUCCAAUAUGGAAGCUUUCUAAUGGAAUACAAAGACAUUUGAUAAAAUGUGUGGUUGUGAUGUGGUUUUUGAGUGCCUUUGGUCUCCGUCUGUUAUAUCACACCUGAAAGUCCAUUCCACAAUGUGUAAAGUAACACUUGAGAUUACCAGGACCUGUGCUUAUAAAACUUUUUAGAGUCCAGACUCGAGACUCUUAACAGAUUCUGAGACAGUAAUGUCAUGACAACGCCAUUCAAAUUGUAUGCAUGUGACAUCAUUAGGGAUCGAGUCUAGACCCUAAACGUUUUAUUGUAAGUACGGGCUCAGGUGUGCACUAUUUGUAAUUGCCAUCCACAAACUUUCUGUUUUUUUUGUCUCGCCUUUAUGAAAUGUUAUGGUAGGUGAAACAUUUAAUUACACAGAAUUUUUGUAUUUGUUGACUAGUAAAAUAAAAAACUACAGUUAAAAAUAAAGAAUGCAAUUUUGGCGAGGAAUAUAUUGGUGAGAGAAGAAACCACAGCUGUUACAUAAGCUACUCUUUUUCUGUUUCUGUUUAUAUUGGAAGCAAGUGAACUUUUACAUACUAUACUACAUUUAGAAGUACAAUUUUGGUGGCGCAGAUUUCUGCUGCAAGAAAAGGUCUUCUGAUAAAUUUUAAUUUUUGAAUUUGAUUAUAAUCUAACAAUGGCCACUCUCUUGAAUGGAAUCGAUGCAAGAAAAGGUCUCGUAAUAAAUUUUAAUUUUUGAAUUUGAUUAUAAUCUAACAAUGGCCACUCUCUUGAAUGGAGUUGAUGAACGAAUAAGCUGCUGAAGUAGCUGUAUGUAAUGGCACCAGUUUCCUCUCUCACUACCUAGAGCAACAUAUGAAAUAGUGGUAGUUUAAAAUGUGCUGAGAUGUCACCAAGUACUGCUUCUCGUUACAGUAGCUGGUGCUAGUGUAUGAUCCUAAUACCUGCCGAGCCAUCAAGGUCUGCAAUAUGAGCUAGUCAUGGAUGCAAUUUGUUUUUUAAUAAUCAAAAUUGUUUUGCCCAGCAGUUUUUAUGUUUUGUCUUUUGGACGUCAUCAAUAGGCUGGUGUUUUGUUGUUGGUCUGUCUUGGGACUUUUUGUUAACACCUAGAUUUUAUUUUUAAUGUACAUGUAAUUAAAUAAUUGUAUUAUUCUCAGUUUUUAAUUUAAGACUGCAGAAGCUGGAUUAACUUGUAAUGAUGUGACAAGUAGGUUAAUUAUGGAGGCAAGUUUUCAGAGAUCUUGUAUACUGUAUAACAUGUUACUAUUACCGUAUGUGAUCAUGAUAAAAUACUGAAAUUUUAUUUUUAUCAGUAUGACAAAAUGUCUAGAUUUUUUUUUUCUACAUGAAAAUAAUAUAUUAAAGUGAAAAUAAUCAUGUUUAAAAAUAACCGAUUGAUUCUUUGAUAAAAAAUUUAAUAUACUACUCAAAGUUUGCUAAGGAUCAUGAAUUCAGGAUUGUGUUCAACAUUAAUAAAGUAAUAUGGCACAAUACACCCCUGAAAACAUUUUAUUUUUAAAAGAUCAGUACUACAGUGGGGAACAAUGGAAUAUUUGUGAUUGAUGUACUGCUAGCCUCUUGCCACAUUAACAGCUGACAUUGUCAUCUCAAGCUCCUAAUCAGUUGAAAGUCUGUAGAAGAUCUUUCUAUUCCUCCAAAUGUUUGACACGUAGUUUGUGCAGAGUCUGUGGCUGGACCUGGAGAUGUGAAAUGGCUACCUUGUAGUAUGUUCCACACACAUUCAAUUGGAUCGAGCUGGCCACUGCAUUUGCACUGUGGUUUCCUGUUGAUGACGGUCAUUAAAUGAGGAUGAAACCACGAUUUAAAGCACCUGCAUAUGGUGGAACACAAGGAUCCAUUAUUUCAUCCCUGUAACGGACAUAUGUCAUUGUUUUCCUGAUCAUGACACAGAGAUUGGCUUGGCCAACCCAUCUAAUCCUUGCCCAGACAUUUACCGAGCCACCAUCAUAGCGGUCAUGUUCCUCAGUAUAACUAUAAGCAUCAUCUUAUCAUUUACCAAUCCUUUUGCCAGACUAGAAAGAUGAUCAGAAAAGCCUAAGCAAUAGAUUAACAAUAGCCUAAGAUUAAAAUCCUAACUUUUUCCAUGAUCAAAAAGAUCUACAAUCCCUAGCAAACUUUGAGUAGUGUAUAGCAGGUAAUUAGUUUUUGUGCACUUGCCUUUGACAGUGGUGUGUCCAAGACUGAGAGUACAUUAUUGAGGAAUUGUUUUUGUUUUUUUAAAAGUACAUGUAUACAAUAUUGAACUGUAAUCGUGUAUAAUCAUUCUGUUGUAGUUGCUCAGCCAUAAGACUGAGAUAUAUGUGUUUUAAUUCUGAAUGUAAAUGUAGCUGGAGCAAUAAAUAUUAUAUACCUAU